GACGAACGCUGGCGGCGUGCCUAAUACAUGCAAGUAGAACGCUGAAGGAGGAGCUUGCUUCUCUGGAUGAGUUGCGAACGGGUGAGUAACGCGUAGGUAACCUGCCUGGUAGCGGGGGAUAACUAUUGGAAACGAUAGCUAAUACCGCAUAAUAGUAGAUGUUGCAUGACAUUUGCUUAAAAGGUGCAAUUGCAUCACUACCAGAUGGACCUGCGUUGUAUUAGCUAGUUGGCGGGGUAACGGCUCACCAAGGCGACGAUACAUAGCCGACCUGAGAGGGUGAUCGGCCACACUGGGACUGAGACACGGCCCAGACUCCUACGGGAGGCAGCAGUAGGGAAUCUUCGGCAAUGGACGGAAGUCUGACCGAGCAACGCCGCGUGAGUGAAGAAGGUUUUCGGAUCGUAAAGCUCUGUUGUAAGAGAAGAACGAGUGUGAGAGUGGAAAGUUCACACUGUGACGGUAUCUUACCAGAAAGGGACGGCUAACUACGUG
rnacentral:rRNA from 1 species